rnacentral:lncRNA from 1 species
UUUCUUGAUAUGUGCAUGAUAGAAAACCUCACCUGACCAAAACCCUAAAUUUGUCUGUAGUAGAGCACGAUAGCAAACCCUGUCUGAGCAAAACCCUAAUCUUGUCUGUAGCACAUAAAAUCUUUUGUCUCACACCUGCACACAUUUUGUCACUUAACUAUUUGUGGUAUCUCUGAAAAUAGUAAGUUGACUACUUGUGCACACUAUUUUUGUCAUCCUGUCACUAUCUAUACUAUUUGUGGGCACUACCACCAAAACAGCAACCAUAUACCCUGUGUGAGUUCUUGAAACCAUGACAAAAAGGACACGC